rnacentral:rRNA from 1 species
ACGUUAGCGGCGGACGGGUGAGUAACACGUGGGUAACCUACCUAUAAGACUGGGAUAACUUCGGGAAACCGGAGCUAAUAUCGGAUAAUAUUUCGAACCGCAUGGUUCGAUAGUGAAAGAUGGUUUUGCUAUCACUUAUAGAUGGACCCGCGCCGUAUUAGCUAGUUGGUAAGGUAACGGCUUACCAAGGCGACGAUACGUAGCCGACCUGAGAGGGUGAUCGGCCACACUGGAACUGAGACACGGUCCAGACUCCUACGGGAGGCAGCAGAC